CCUACGAGUGGCAGCAGUGAGGAAUAUUGGUCAAUGGGCGGGAGCCUGAACCAGCCAAGUCGCGUGAGGGAAGACGGUCCUAUGGAUUGUAAACCUCGUUAGGCGGGGAGCAAUGCCGGGCACGUGUGCCCGGAGGGAGAGUACCCGCAGUAUAAGCAUCGGCUAACUCCGUGCCAGCAGACGCGGUAAUACGGAGGAUGCGAGAGUUAUCCGGAUUUAAUGGGGUUAAAGGGUGCGUAGGCGGAUUUUGAAGUUAGCGGUAAAAUGUCCGGGCUCAACCCGGGCCGGCCGUUGAAACUGGGGAUCUAGAGUGGGCGAGAGGUAUGCGGAAUGCGUGGUGUAGCGGUGAAAUGCAUAGAUAGCACGCAGAACUCCGAUUGCGAAGGCAGCAUACCGGCGCCCGACUGACGCUGAGGCACGAAAGCGUGGGGAUCGAACAGGAUUAGAUACCCUUGUAGUC
rnacentral:rRNA from 1 species